AGAGUUUGAUCAUGGCUCAGGAUGAACGCUAGCGACAGGCUUAACACAUGCAAGUCGAGGGGCAGCACAAUGUAGUAAUACACGGGUGGCGACCGGCGCACGGGUGAGUAACGCGUAUGCAACUUGCCUAUCAGAGGGGGAUAACCCGUCGAAAGACGGACUAAUACCGCAUGAAACAGGGGCCCCGCAUGGGGAUAUUUGUCAAAGAAAAUCGCUGAUAGAUAGGCAUGCGUUCCAUUAGGUAGUUGGCGGGGCAACGGCCCACCAAGCCGACGAUGGAUAGGGGUUCUGAGAGGAAGGUCCCCCACACUGGUACUGAGACACGGACCAGACUCCUACGGGAGGCAGCAGUGAGGAAUAUUGGUCAAUGGGCGAGAGCCUGAACCAGCCAAGUCGCGUGAGGGAUGACGGCCCUACGGGUUGUAAACCUCUUUUAUAAGGGAAUAAAGGACAUCACGUGUGGUGUUUUGCAUGUACCUUAUGAAUAAGCAUCGGCUAACUCCGUGCCAGCAGCCGCGGUAAUACGGAGGAUGCGAGCGUUAUCCGGAUUCAUUGGGUUUAAAGGGUGCGUAGGUCGCCGAUUAAGUCAGCGGUGAAAGUCAGUGGCUCAACCAUUGAACUGCCGUUGAAACUGGUUGGCUUGAGUACGUACGGGGCAGGCGGAAUGCGUGGUGUAGCGGUGAAAUGCAUAGAUAUCACGCAGAACCCCGAUCGCGAAGGCAGCCUGCCAGGCCGUGACUGACACUGAUGCACGAAAGCGUGGGUAUCGAACAGGAUUAGAUACCCUGGUAGUCCACGCAGUAAACGAUGAUCAUUAGCUGUUUGCGAUAGAAUGUAAGCGGCACAGCGAAAGCGUUAAGUGAUCCA
rnacentral:rRNA from 1 species